GCCUACCAGAGAAGCAGAGAAAGAGCUGAUCGGGAGAAUACAGCGUGAGGUUCAGAGAAAAUCUGAGGAGCCCACCAACCAGGUCAGAAGAGCAGGAGGGUCAGCAAGUGAAUUAAUUACACUAGGGUUUCUUAAAGGAGCGCGGAUGAGGGAUUAUCUACAGGAGCCUGAGCACUGUGGCGGUCCCCACAAGAGUCAUGGCUGGCAGGGAAGUGAUCUAAGAGAGGUAAGAAUGAAAGUAGGAUCAGC
rnacentral:lncRNA from 1 species